GAUGAAGAACGUAGCGAAAUGCGAUAAGUAAUGUGAAUUGCAGAAUUCAGUGAAUCAUCGAAUCUUUGAACGCACCUUGCGCUCCUUGGUAUUCCGAGGAGCAUGCCUGUUUGAGUGUCAUGAAAUUCUCAACCUUUUCAGCUUUCUUUGUUGAUCAGGCUUGGAUGUGGGAGUAUGCGGGCUUCUCAGAAGUCGGCUCUCCUGAAAUGCAUUAGCGGGACCUUUGUUGCCUGGCUUUGGUGUGAUAAUUAUCUACGCCAUUGUAGUCAAGCAGCUUAAAAUGAGGUUUCAGCUUCUAACCGUCUCCCCUGAGACAACUUUUUGACAAUUUGACCUCAAAGCAGGUAGGACUACCCGCUGAACUUAAGCAUAUCAAUAAGCGGAGGA
rnacentral:misc_RNA from 1 species